ensembl:lncRNA
CUGGGGAGGCCAGGAGGGGGGCAACAGGCACAGCGGAGAGAGGGCCUGGGAGCCACUGGCCAGUGCCUGCUUCCUGUUCCCUGGCCUGGGCCAGCGGGCGCUGAGGCGAGGCCAGAGGGCACUCAGCCCGCCUACGGAAUGGCCCGGAGUGUUGCCUCUCGCUCAAGUGGGAAAUGCACAUUUAUCUGGGGAGCUGCCAGCAGCAGGCCAGCACAGUGGCAGCCCUUCCCAGAGCCCUGGCCCUCCUCCGCCCCCGCCUCUGUCCUGCAGAGGGGAGGCCAGCCCAGGAGCCCCCAGCCGUCCAUUUCCUCUCUAGCAGGACAAGGCACAGCUGGGCUCUACAGCCUCAGCCUGUGCCAGGCUGGGUACCUCACCUCCCAGCCAGUGACACUUCCCUGCCCUCCGCUGUCCCAAAGGCAGCAAGAACCGGCCCAGCUGCUGUAAUGGAAACUUCCUGGCCAGUCUGUGAGCUUCGACAGCUCGGGUUCCACCCCGCGUGAGGCUCAGUCUUCAGCUAGCUCUUCAGGUGGCUGGGCCGUCCUGGCAACGCAGGAGCCAGGGUGGGCCGUGUGUGCUCAUUUGUGCGUGCGUGUGUGUGUGUGUGUGUGUGUGUGUGUGUGUACGCGUAUUUGCAUGUCCCCCUCCAGCCCCACAGGACAACACUGGAGCCGGCCACCACACACCAGGACCAUGCUCCAGUAAAUGAGGACCACCACUCGAGCAUUGUGCCCCGACUCCCACCCAGAAAGCCCGUGUCGGACCAGAGAGGAUGUGGAGGCCACCAGGGGCUCAGUGCGGCCCCAGGCCCCGGCGGUAAGGCUUCCGAGGCAGUGGCUGUGUGGGCUCCGAGGUGGACAGGCGAGGACAAAAGGAUCCUGGGCCCCACCCUGCAGCUAAGGCCAUGGAACUGGAAGAGACAGGGCCAGAGUGUGCGGGGGCUGAGUGUGCGGGGCUGAGUGUGCGGGGGCUGAGUGUGCGGGGCCAGGCGGGGAGCAGCACUGACGGAGGGAGGGCUGGGCGCAAGCAGGGGCGGAGACUGCGGCCCAGCUGUCACACAGGAGGGCCGGACCCCAGGCGGAGCUGUGGGCUCCCGGGGACGGUGCCGAGCACCCAGCGCUGGAGGCCUUGGAGCAGCCGCAUCGUGUCACAGAUGAGGGCUCCGGGGGGCCAUCUUCCAAACCAGGCUGUGCUGACCAGGGCAGCUCCAGGGCCAGCUGGGCAUGGCCAGGAGGAGGAGGCCAGCUCCUCGGGGGCCCCAGCAGCCCACCAAGGCCUCCAGCCACCCUGGUCCCCUGCGCUGGCCCACCCCACCAAGCUGGACCCCACCCCACAAUCCCCCAUGUCUCAAGGUCCCCCCGGACCCUCUGGGGACCAAACAGCAGCCUGACACCCCCAAACUGCCCAGGCCUGGCACUCACCUGGGAGGUGGGCGCCCCAGCUGGGGAGGCUGAGGUUGGGUCGGGGGCUGCCACAGCUCCCCUCACCCUGCCCCGCUGCCACAGUGGCCAAGUCCUGAGCCCUUCCCCUGGGCCUGGUCACCACCAUGAGUCUGUGUGUGUCCAGGCUGGAGGACUGGUCCGAGGGCCCCGCCAGCUGUGAAGGGUUGCUGUUCUCAUCUCUGAGCCCCUGGGACUGCUGGGGGCCAGAGCAGGAGCUGCAGCCUGGCCUGGGUCACUGACCUUGCCCACUUGACUUCUGACCCCACCAGCAUAGAGCAGCUGGCACCAGGGCCACGGCCAGGGUGU